AUCGAACGCUGGCGGCAGGCCUAACACAUGCAAGUCGAACGAGUGGCGGACGGGUGAGUAAUGUCUGGGAAACUGCCUGAUGGAGGGGGAUAACUACUGGAAACGGUAGCUAAUACCGCAUACCAUCGGAUGUGCCCAGGUGGGAUUAGCUAGUAGGUGGGGUAAAGGAUCACCUAGGCGACGAUCCCUAGCUGGUCUGAGAGGAUGACCGGCCACACUGGGACGGAGAAACGGUCCAGACUCCUACGGGAGGCAGAAGUGGGGAAUAUGGGACAAUGGGCGAAAGCCUGAUGGAGCCAUGCCGCGUGUAUGAAGAAGGCCUUCGGGUUGUAAAAUACUGUCAGCAGGGAGGCGUUACCUGCAGAAGAAGCAACGGCUAACUCCGUGCCAGCAGCCGCGGUAAUUC
rnacentral:rRNA from 1 species